GUUUAUUGUGGUCAGCAAUUUCAAGGGAGACAGAGAGGGAAAGAGAUCAGAGAUCGCUUUACUUUAUUCGGUGGCCAACUAUUUCUUAGUUCUUUUCGCAAGCUGACAGGUACAGCUUGAAUUUUACUCUUUGCAAAGACAACUAAAAUUUAUUUUGAGCUGAUUAAUAUCAGAAAGGGCUUAUCGAUAAUUUUGCUGUGCCUUGGCAACACCAGCAUUUUAACAGCUGGGACUUGACAUAUUCAUUAAAGUGACUGGGAAAAAUUAAUUUCUAGCAAGGAAUUAAAUUCACCUGUGAAAACUAUUCGCGCAAUGAUUAAUUACGAUGUGCAAAAUGGUCUGAGCAAAGGUGCAUCAAUCAUCCGGCUUUGGCUUUAACCGAUGAAGCCACAGUGAAACACUGUUACGACGAUUUCAAUUGCACUCCAAAGACGGACCGCGAAACGAUUCAUCAUCUACAACAGUUGCCAGCACUUGGUGUGGGAAAAAAAACGCGCCCACCAAAAUAGGUUCAAACUGGUCCAAAUUUGGCCAAAUGCUGUUUGUAAUUCGCAAUUGGUUCACGCGUGCGCUUGUACAAAUGCGUUGCAAGGGAUUUGUCGGAGGUCGCUCAGACGAAACACGUGCUGAAACCUUUACGCGCUGGUCAUAACGCCAUUUGCAGCAUUGGCGAGUGUUUUGUUUCGCUCUCAGCGGACAGCUUGCUAUCAAUUGAGGCAACUGUAAAUGGCAUUAAUGCAGCCAGUUGCGGCAGCAGGCCGGCCGCAAUGUGACAAGCGGAUUAUGCAAUCAUAUGCUCAGAUAGAUGGUAGAGAUUGCAUAGAUCCAUCAAUUGGAUGAUGCUUGCAACCCGGAAAAGUCAAUCUGGGAGACUGGGAAAAAGACGACUGCCAGCCGGCAAGAACUUGGGAGGGAGGCAAAUGCAAAUGCAAAUGAAACGGGGGCCAACAAUUUGCCACAUUGAUAUUUAAAUAUGCCGUUGCAUUAAUCAUCAAAUUACUCGCACAAACACUCGCAGAGCAUUUAAAAUUAUAUUAACAGGGGAGAGGCACGUUCAAUGCAUAGUCGACGUUGAAAUACCCUUGCAGAGCAAAAACGAGUUCAGUUUACAGAGAAUAGAAUAAAACUUGUUCAACGGAUUAA